rnacentral:lncRNA from 1 species
UGGAGUCUUGUCAUUCACAGACUACCAUUCUAUUAAAUAAAGUUGAGCUUUUAUCCAAUUGUUUCUACUCUUAUUUAUUUCAGCCAAAUAGUUUUAAAUUUUAUUAUGAUCAUUUUUUAAAAUCAAAGUUUUAAUCAAAACAUGUUUUCUUAAACAUAUAAAAGCAAUAAUUUUAAAUAACCAAUUUCAUUUAAAAGGAAUAUCAACAAUGGUUCGAAAGCAGUAAGCCCUAAAUGUGGAGCAGUAUUGGUUCUCCCCAAGCAAUAGGCGCAAU